UACGUAGGGUGCGAGCGUUAAUCGGAUUACUGGGCGUAAAGCGUGCGCAGGCGGUUCGUUGUGUCGGCGGUGAAAGCCCCGGGCUUAACCUGGGAAUGGCCGUUGAAACUGGCGAACUGGAGGUGUGGCAGAGGGGGUGGAAUUCCGCGUGUAGCAGUGAAAUGCGUAGAGAUGCGGAGGAACACCGAUGGCGAGGCAGCCCCUGGGCUGACACUUGACGCUCAGGCACGAAGCGUGGGAGCAACAGG
rnacentral:rRNA from 1 species